CUGAAUUAACGGAAGGUUGUUGCUGGCUCCUUGGAGCAUGUGCACGCCUUUCAAAUUCUUCUUAACCACCUGUGCACUUUUGUAGGCUACGAUAGCUCUCAGUGGUAAAACACUGGAUUGAGAGACUUGCGAUUCAGCUGUCUUUCGACUUCGUAGUCUAUGUUUUAUCUCAUAUACUAAAGUCAUCGAAUGUUAUUGUAUAUGGGUCUUCAUUGACCUAUAAAACUAUAUA
rnacentral:misc_RNA from 1 species